UGAUGUGAGGGCAAUCUGGCUGCGACAUCUGUAACCCCAUUGAUUGCCAGGGUUAAUUCCACUGAUCUGGCUGGCUAGGCAGGUGUCCCCUUCCUCCCUCACCUCUCCAUGUGUGUCCCUCUCAAAGCUGAGUGCUUGGUAGAAGAGGACUAGAAGAGGACGGCCUUCCCAGAAUAGAGAAGGACCAGUCUUAGGUCCAGGGUAUAGGAGUAGCUAUGCUCCCCUGCUAGAACCUCCAAACAAGCUCUCAUAUUAUUUUUUUUAACUUUUAUCUUAUUUUUAUUGAUUUAGUAUUGAUUUCAGGGAUAUCAUUUUACAACUCUACACACCACACAGUCCACUGAAGUUUCAGUGUUAUU
rnacentral:snRNA from 1 species